GAUGAACGCUGGCGGCGUGCCUAACACAUGCAAGUCGAACGGAGAUUACGGACGGAAGUUUUCGGAUGGAAGACUGUAAUUCUUAGUGGCGGACGGGUGAGUAACGCGUGGGCAACCUGCACUAUACAGGGGGAUAGCAGCUGGAAACGGCUGGUAAGACCGCAUAAGUCGGCGAGACCGCAUGGUUUUGCCGGGAAAUGAGCAAGCAGGUAUAGGAUGGGCCCGCGUCCGAUUAGCCAGUUGGGAGGGUAAAAGCCUACCAAAGCAACGAUCGGUAGCCGGACUGAGAGGUCGGACGGCCACAUUGGGACUGAGACACGGCCCAAACUCCUACGGGAGGCAGCAGUGGGUGAUAUUGCACAAUGGAGGAAACUCUGAUGCAGCGACGCCGCGUGAGUGAAGAAGUAUUUCGGUAUGUAAAGCUCUAUCAGCAGGGAAGAUGAUGACGGUACCUGACUAAGAAGCCCCGGCUAACUACGUG
rnacentral:rRNA from 1 species